rfam:Ciona intestinalis ciona0262, whole genome shotgun sequence.
AAGAUCAUGCUUUUAGGGAUCAUUUCUAUAGUGUGCAUCUUGAAAACGUCGUCAUAGUAUAACGAUACGACAACUGCGAUGACGAGUCGCAGGAUUCUCCUCUGAGCAUGAAGAUUUAUUGUUUGUAGGUUCAUUUACAAACUGUGAUUGAGGAUUGUUUUCGAUGCUCUCGUAGCAUCGAAAGGAGGAGAAUCCUUGCUGAGCAGU